rnacentral:lncRNA from 1 species
CGCGUCAACAUGAACACCCUCGGUCGAGAAUGAACGACACCUCGAGUCUACCUCUAAUAUCCGUCUUAGAGUCUCCGACACAACCCAAUCCAUCAACUUUUCGCCGCAAGUAUCAAGCCCUCGUCUCUCAAGAGCCUUAUUCUUCUAUGGUUUACUGUCCUAGGUCUCCUAGGUCCAUCUAAACUAUUUUUCCAUUCUCUACUUUAUGCUCUUAUACCAACUUAUCUGUCACGACCAGCGACCGCCCGCCUAUUUGGCCGGGUCGCGGCUCCGCCGACAGACCGCCGAACGGACAGAGUUUCCCUUGUACGUCCUAGGCGUCGCAAUCUGUACAAUACGAAGGUUCCUCCCAGGAACCGAUAUCAAUCAAGAUUGCAUAAAAAAGUAUCAGACAUAAAACUACUUGCUAUUACAAGCAUUCAUUUCAUACACGUUACACCACAUUUCAUUUUCUUUUACAUUAGACUUCCAAAUACAAUCUAAAUUAUUACAUCACUUUACAAGUUUGAUACAUUUUGUUUCAUCGUUCUCUA